GCGGGAGGUGCUCCCCCAGGUGGGUUAGUCGUUGCCCUUUUGGCUCGGAGAGCACCACAAUGGCAUGACUAGGGUGGCUGAGCUUGGAUGUAAGGGAGUCUCAGAGGAAGUCAUUAGCCGCCCUCUCUCUCCAGUCAUCUAGGUCCAGAGCCAAGACAGGCGGCACUGGGGAUGGCCUCAGAGCCUGCUUCAGCCGCCUUCGUAGCUGUUGGCACCAAUUGUUCCCCUCCGCUCUUCCAAUGGGAGAAGUCUUCGUGUCUGCCGUAGAGUAGAUGCGCCCUAAGUAAUGGCCAGCUUUGGGUCUCCUCAGUUUCCCUCAACCUAGCUUAGCUCCUCUACUGAGACGGCUUCACCAGGGUGUGGCCAUGCUGGAGUUGGGAGCAGCCCUGAAAAGGGCUCAGCAAACCCUCCCCAUAGGGGGCUGGUCCUCACAGCCCUGGCCUUCCCACUACGGGUGCUGAUCCUCCCUGGGCCGCUAGGAGGCGCCAGAGUGCACCCAGCACUGGCCUUCCCACUACGGGUGCUGAUCCUCCCUGGGCCGCUAGGAGGCGCCAGAGUGCACCCAGCACUGGCCUUCCCACUACGGGUGCUGAUCCUCCCUGGGCCGCUAGGAGGCGCCAGAGUGCACCCAGCACUGGCCUUCCCACUACGGGUGCUGAUCCUCCCUGGGCCGCUAGGAGGCGCCAGAGUGCACCCAGCACUGGCCUUCCCACUACGGGUGCUGAUCCUCCCUGGGCCGCUAGGAGGCGCCAGAGUGCACCCAGCACUGGCCUUCCCACUACGGGUGCUGAUCCUCCCUGGGCCGCUAGGAGGCGCCAGAGUGCACACAGCACUGGCCUUCCCACUACGGGUGCUGAUCCUCCCUGGGCCUCUAGGAGGCGCCAGAGUGCACACAGCACUGGCCUUCCCACUACGGGUGCUGAUCCUCCCUGGGCCGCUAGGAGGCGCCAGAGUGCACACAGCUCUGGUCCUCCCCAACACCCAGGAAGCCCCGCCCCCCAUCCCUCUUGAGUGCAAGCUGCAAGAGACCUCGGAAGUCUUUCAAACUGCAGGAUUUGAACCCUCGUCUUCCUGCC
rnacentral:lncRNA from 1 species